GCCCAAUGUAAAUGCCAAGCCAUAGAAAUAUUUUUAUUACCAUCGUCAUGACAACUACCCUGUCAGUUUGAUUGCAAUACCAAAGUUGUUAUUUACACUAUAAAACAACACAUACCUACUCUGAGAAGGGGCAACAAAAACUCAGUUUUUUCCAUUCCUAUCCAAUUCAAAUCAUGCUGGCCACAAAAACAAUUUCCUGAUUGCCGAUACAAUAAAUUGCCAAAUGCCUGACAAUUUGGGCUAGCGACGCCCCUGAAUGCUACAAUGAUAGCAACCUCUAUUGCUAUUACAUCUCCAACCUUGAAUGUCCUAUUUAGU